UGGGCGUAAGCGCGCGCAGGCGGCCUUUUAAGUCUGAUGUGAAAGCCCCCGGCUCAACCGGGGAGGGUCAUUGGAAACUGGAAGGCUUGAGUGCAGAAGAGAAGAGCGGAAUUCCACGUGUAGCGGUGAAAUGCGUAGAGAUGUGGAGGAACACCAGUGGCGAAGGCGGCUCUUUGGUCUGUAACUGACGCUGAGGCGCGAAAGCGUGGGGAGCGAACAGGAUUAGAUACCCUGGUAGUCCACGCCGUAAACGAUGAGUGCUAAGUGUUGGGGGGUUUCCCCCCCUCUUUGCUGCACCUAACACAUUAAACACUCCCCCUGGGGAGUACGG
rnacentral:rRNA from 1 species